GACCGUAUCCAUGUGUGCUAGGUAGUGUUAAGAUAUUAAUCAGUACUUGUGUCUUGUCAAGGGCUUAUGUGAAUAUGUUGCUGGUCACAAAAUCUUGCAUUGAUAUUUUAAUUAAGAAACAUUUCUUAUUCUCUUUCCAUUCCUGUUAAUGUUAGUACAUCACAUUUUUAUGUUAAUCAUUUGAACUGUUUGAAUAGCUACAGUGUAAUCAGGUUCUGAUGCUUUAAGAAUUGAGAAGUACAUGUAGUAAUUCUGUUUCCGUGUUCACAGAUGCCGCGACCAACCAAGAGGUCGACAAUAGCCAAACGGCUAUACGCACAGAGAUGUGCAAGUACAGAGGCUGCACCGCUUCCUCUUAAAAUAACUGAAGCAGAGUUUCCACCCCUUCCUCUUAAAAAAAGGGCAGAGGCUGCACGACCACCUCUUAAAACAUACAAGGCCGAGGUAACGCCGCUUCCUCGUAAAAAAAUGGCCGACUGCUCCGGCAGUUGUAAUCCUGGCCCCACCCAGCAGGUUCCACCCCGUCCUGCAAAAACAAACGGGAAAGAGGCUGCGACGCUUCCUCUCAAAAUAAGUCAAGCCAAGGUUAUGCCCACUCCUUGUAAAAAAAAAGGCCGGUUUUGCCAUCGUGUAGAAACCACCCCUCAACAGGUUCCACCCCUCCCUGUGGGUACAAUUGGGGUAGAGGCAAAGACGCUCCCUCUUAAAACAAGUCGAGCCGAGGUUAUGCCACAUCCUCGUAUAAAAAAAGGUCGGUUUUGCCAUCGUGUAGAAACCAACCCUCAACAGGUUCCACCCCUCCCUGUGGGCGCGAUUGGGGUAGAGGCAAAUACGCUCCCUCUUAAAACAAGUAGAGCCGAGGUUAUGCCACAUCCUCGUAAAAAAAUAGGCGGUUUUUGCCAUUGUGUAGAAACCACCCCUCAACAGGUUCCACCCCUCCCUGUGAAUCCAAUUGGGGUAGAGGCUGCACCGCUUCCUCUUAAAACAAGUCAAGCCGAGGUUGUGUCACGUCCUCGUCCAAAAGUGACAGACAAAGAACGCCUAUGUUCGAUGUCGGAAAUUUCCAACCAAACAAAACCCAGAUAUACCCUGCCUAUUUCCGUUCAUAAACCAUCUAUUCCUGUUCAUAAACCAUCUAUUCCCGUUCAUUCACCGUCUAUUUCAAAGAGAUUCCCAUUGAACUCAAACGAAAACAAAAGAAAAAGCUCAAAACAAUGUUUCAACAGGUGUGACCAAUCUGUCAAAAGUUCCAGACAAUCUGCAGGAAGGUUUGUGAUUCCAACCAAGUCGAUGGAUAAUGAUUUGAACACUUUAAAUUUGAGUUUUGAAUUUCCACAGAAAUCCGUGCUGACAGGUUCUUUUGAUCAAGCUGAUGCCCGCUUUGGAGAUUUGCGCAACAGGCAGUGUGGAGCCAUCAGUCUGACGGCAGUUUUGAGAAGCAAGCUGAAGAAUGUGCUGACGUGGUCGACACAAGAUCUGGAUGGUGUCUUGGUUGCAGGAACACACCUCUAUGAGUCUCUGAGAAAACAGGGUAACAUAAAAGACCGGGAAGUGAAGGGUAGGAAUUACAUUGCAGUCCAUGAACUACCAAGGAGACACAUGUUGGGUAAUACUACAUUUUCCAUCGAGUACAGUCCAUCUCUGACUGGUUUUGUUAAUGUCAAUGAGUACCAUGCGUAUGACAAAGCCAUAAGCGGUGUAGCCAUGCCACUUGAUGUAGCUCUUCAGCAAGCUCUACUGAGUGCUGAUGCUUUCUUGUUAACCGUUUGUGCCAACACAUCUGCAGUUAUUAAGCAGGGAUCAUGGUAUGCAGUUGUUGACUCUCAUGCUAUCAAAACAGAGACGAGUUGUGUUACUUAUCACAGAUCCGUUGAGUCUCUGUACAACUAUAUUAAUGACAUGGCACAGUUAUUUGGGGAACCUGAGCCACCAUUUGAGAUAACUGGAGUUUUGGUUUAUGCAGACGCAGAAGUUUGUGAUCCAUUGGAAGAAGCCGCUGGCAGCAGUUUUCCAUGCACUUCUGGUAAAGCCCUUUACAGCGAGGUCUUAAAACGCUCACCCAAGGUCUGUGAAUCUGUAAAGAGUGAGGUAAAGCCAUCUGAUUUUCAAGUAGACUCUGGCAAACUCCGGCAACCCCAGAUGAAGCACCCCAUGAAAACCCAACCAAAAUCCAUGAAAAAACCUAUCCAAACUGAACAAAACAUUCCUGCAAAUUGCCAUGAAAGUGCUUUGAGUGCUUGUUGUGAUUUUCCACAGAAAUCCAUGCUAAAAGGCUCUUUUGAUCAAGCUGAUGCCCGCUUUGGAGAUUCACGCAACAGGCAGUGUGGAGCUAUCAGUCUCACGGCAGUGUUGAGAAGCAAGCUGAAGAAUGUGCUUACGUGGUCGACACAAGAUCUGGACAGUGUCUUGGUUGCAGGAACACGCCUCUAUGAAUCUCUGAGAAAACAGGGUAACAUAAAAGAUCGGGCAGUGAAGGGUAGGAAUUACAUUGCAGUCCAUGAACUACCGAGGAGACACAUGUUGGGUAAUACUACAUUUUCCAUUGAGUACACUCCGUCUCUGACUGGUUUUGUUAAUGUCAAUGAGUACCACGAGUAUGACCAAGCCAUAAGCGCUGUAGCCAUGCCACUUGAUGUAGCCCUUCAGCAAACUCUACUUAGUGCUGAUGCUUUCUUGUUAACCAUUUGUGCCAACACAUCUGCAGUUAUUAAGCAAGGGUCGUGGUAUGCAGUCGUUGACUCUCAUGCCAUCAGGACAGACACAAGUUGUGUAGUCUAUCACAGUACCAUAGAGUCUCUGUACAACUAUAUCAAUGACAUGGCACAGUUGUUUGGGGAACCUGAGCCACCAUUUGAGAUAACUGGAGUUUUGGUUCAUGCAGAUGCAGAAGUGUCUGAUCCGCUGCAAGAAGCAGGCAGCAGCAGUUUACCAUGCUCUUCCGGUAAAGCCCUCUACAGUGACGUCUUAAAACGCACACCAAAGGUACGUGAAUCUGUGAAGACUGAGCCAAAGACCCCUGAUUGUCCGGUACCUGUGGAUGAAGUUGCAGAUGUGAGAAACCCUAACCUUCCAACGCAGACAGUCUCUAAUGUGUUGCCAAGUAAAGGUAAAAGAUUGAGGAAAGAAAAGCACAUUGAGCUGUCAGGUAAACGGGUUACAAAAUCACACGCUGAAACUGUUGUAACCGAUGACCUGAUGAUCACUGAUGUUUCAGUUCCAGAUGUCUUUUUUUCUCCCUUAACACAUAAUGAUAAGCAAGCUUUAUGUGAGCUCAUACAAAUGUCCAGUGAUAACAGUGACCAUAAUGUCAUAAACUUUGGUCCCAUUUCAGCUCCGUGUCAGACAAAGACCAUUAAACCAGACGGCAACUGUUUUUUCAGAUCGUUGGCACAUGUGAUAUGUGGAAGUGAGGAGAAACACUUGAAGGUUCGCCGUGCAGUUGUGAAACAUCUGAAGAUGAAUACUCCGCUGUUUGAGAGGUACGUGAGAAGUGAGUAUUCUUCAGCAGAGGAUUAUCUGACACGAUCUAGAAUGUUUUAUUCUGGCUCAUGGGUAACAGAAAUUGACAUAUUUGUUGCGGCUGAUCUUUUCAAAACCACCAUAAUGACUUUUAAUGACGGCCGAUGGAAUGCGCACAAACCUAAUGGAGAGGCAUUCACUCAGAAUGCAAUUUAUCUGAAACACUGUAACCGUAAUCAUUAUGAAGUUGUGACAUGUGUUAAGCACAGGGAUCGAGAUUCUGUUUGUGCAGGAGCAUGUGGAAAUGUGGUCUCAAAUGAGGUCAGCAAACCAUGUCUGCGUAAGCGAAAGGUAAGUGAUGCUGAAGAAUGUUGUCCAACCAAAAGGCAUCGGGACAGAUAUCGCAACGACAGCGAGUACAGACAAAAACAACUGAAGUACGAGAAGGCAAAGUAUGGUAAUGACCCUGAAUACAGACAGAACAAAAUUGAGCAUGCCAAAGCUAAAUAUUGUGAUGGUGCCAUUUACAGGGGGAAAAAAAUUGAAUAUGCCAAAACAAAAUAUUCUGAUGACCCCGUUUACAGGGGGAAAAAAAUUGAAUAUGACCAAACAAAAUACAGUAGAGAUAGAUCUUACCAAGAAAGAAAAAAGGGAAUUCUUCGUGACAAAUAUCUAAAAAAUGUUGAUGUUCGUUUUUCAAAGUGUGAACGUUCUAAGGCCAAGUACUUGAGCAAUAUUCAGUUCCAAAAACGUGUUUGCCAGUAUUCUCGAUUGAAAUAUAAAUAUAAUGUUUCUUUUCAGGCAAAUGUAUGCGAGUAUUCAAAGAAAAAAUAUCUGCAAAACCUGGCCUUCAAAGCAAGAGUGUGUGAGUAUUCAAAGAAAAAAUAUCUGCAAAACCUGGCCUUCAAAGCAAGAGUGUGUGAGUAUUCAAAGAAAAAAUAUCUGCAAAACCUGGCCUUCAAAGCAAGAGUGUGUGAGUAUUCAAAGAAAAAAUAUCUGCAAAACCUAGUCUUCAAAAGAAGAGUGUGUGAGUAUUCUGUAAUGAAAUAUCAUAAAGAUGUGAACUUCCGUGUGCUUUCAAUACAAAAAGGUUGUGAAAAGUAUGCAAGAAAGAAGGAACAACAAGACAUUGCUGUUGCUAUUGGUAAUUUUAGACAAGAAAUUAGUAGUGGUCCAGAGUUUGUGUGCUGUGUCUGUCACCGUUUACUUUUCAGAAAGCAGGUUGUUGAAUGUAGAAGACAAUGCUAUGAAGACAAAGGUGUAAAAAUCGCUGCUUUGGGAAGAAGAUGCAUCACAACCAGGUAUGUUCAUGUCUGUGAUCAAAAGUGUGAAGGAUCUUCUGCUCAUUCCUCAGGGUGCAAAUUAUGGAUCUGUCUAACGUGUCAUCGAAAAAUCCUCUGUGGACAACUGCCCGAAGAGAGCGUUGCAAACAACAUGCAUUUGGUGGAUGUUCCAAAUCAACUGAAAUGCCUCAACUCUUUGGAACAACAUCUAAUUGCACGUAACAUUCCUUUUAUGAAAUUACUGUGCCUUCCUCGUGGUAAACAACAUGGAUGCCAUGGCCCUGUAGUGUGCGUCCCGGUUAAUGCCACAGAUGUGUCCAAUAUCCUUCCACGAAAUGAAUGUGAUGACAAGAUGAUAAGGAUCAAACUGAAACGCAAGUUAACCUACAAAGGGCAUUAUGAGUACAAGUAUGUACACACUGAUCGUGUUCGAAAUGCUCUGAAAUAUUUGAUCCGGUUCAAUAAGUGGUUUGGUGAUGUGGAGAUUAAUCAACAGUGGAUCAACUCUUUGAACGAACCAGAAGAAAAUGUUGAUGAAAUGGAGCAACAAGACGUAGUUGAAAAGAUUGAUGAUGAAAAUGACCUUGAUGAACAGCAAGAGGAAGACCUUACCUACAUCAAAGAGCAAAGUGGUCUUUUGUCAGAUACGUCAUUGCAACCUGUGGACAUCGGUUCAGAAGUAAUUGAUCAGCAUUUCCAGGAUGUAUUAAAUCUGGCACCUGCUGAAGGUAACAGUCCUGUUAGUUUGUUAUCUGAUAGGUCUAACGAAGCAAAAUGUUUCCCUGUUCUAUAUCCAACUGGUGGUCCAACAUUUCAUGAUAAGAGGGAGGUAAAAAUAACAUUGUCAAGAUACUUGAAUGCAAGAAUCCUCAAUGCGGAUGGACGUUUUGCACAAAGCACAGACUUCAUUUUCUAUGCACAGUAUCUGUCGGAGAUUGAUCAAGUUGUAUCCAAUGUUUCAAUUGCUUUGCGCAAAGGAUCUGAGAAGAGUUUGUUGACUGAAGUGACUUCAGAUGUACUAACAAACCCAGACUCGUUAUCUAAAAUCUUGAAUUUUGAUGAAGGAUACAAGUUUUUGAGACCAAUCCGUGGAACACCUCCAUAUUGGCAGUCUACUCAAAAGGACCUUUUUGCACUUGUAAGACAGCUAGGUAUUCCAACUUUCUUUGCAUCCUUUAGUUCUGCGGAUCUCAGAUGGCCAGAAAUGAUUAGUACUAUAAUCAAACAGGAAGGGAAAAAUGUGAAAGCAGAUGAACUUGACUGGUCUGAAAAAUGUGGAUUGAUUAGACGAAACCCAGUGACUGCUGCAAGAAUGUUUGAUCAUAGAUGGCAUUGUUUUCUGAGAAAUGUAAUCAUGUCUUCAGCUCAACCGAUCGGGAAAAUAGUAGAUUACUUUUAUCGCGUAGAGUUUCAACAGCGUGGAUCUCCUCAUGUUCACUGUCUGUUUUGGGUUGAAAAUGCCCCAACGUUAAAUGAAGACAAUGAAGAAAACGAUGGUUUGGUUGCUAGUUUCAUUGAUCGUUACAUCACUUGUGAGACCCCAAGCGAGGAUGAAACUGAACUGUUUGAGAUUGUCAACGGUGUUCAGAAGCACAGUGUCAGACAUUCAAAGACAUGUCGUAAGAAAAAGACAGUUUGCAGAUUUAAUUUUCCACGACCCCCAUCAAGCCGUACCUUUAUUACAAGAGGUGGUAGUCGAGACGAUUUGAAAAGCGGUGACGGAAAAGAUACUGCACGUACAGUUUUAGAAAAAGUGAAAAAGGCUUUAACAGCUUCUGAUAUGGAUUAUGACUCAACUGAUGCAUUUUUUGAAUCCAUUGGUAUUAACCAAGCUCUCUUUGAGAAAGUGUAUGCACAGUGUUCCAAAAAGAAAUCCGUUGUCCUGAAAAGAAGUCCAAAAGACGUCUGGGUGAACCAGUAUAAUAAACAUUUACUGCGUGCCUGGCAAGGCAACAUGGAUAUCCAGUACGUCACUGAUGCUUACUCUGUAGUGGUUUACAUUAUCAGUUACAUCACAAAAGCAGAACAAGAAAUGGGAUUGUUGCUGCAACGUGCGCAAAACGAAGCCAUGAAUGGAAACCUUGAAGCGAGAUCAUCACUGAAGAUGCUUGGUAGUGUAUAUCUUCACAACAGAGAAGUUUCUGCUCAAGAGGCUGUGUAUCGUCUGACCGGUAUGCACUUGAAGGAAUGUUCUCGUAAAGUCCAGUUUAUUCCAAUUGGAUUGAAUCCUGUAAAGAUGAGUUUGCCUCUUCGUGUCAUCAAAAACAAAGUUGAUCAGUCUGGUGAAGAAGCUAGCUUUUGGAUGACUAGUCUGGUUGACCGAUACAAGAAUAGGCCAAACACGGAAGAGUUUGAGACCCAAUGUCUUGCAAGUUUUUGCUCUGAAAACAGGAUCUUGUCAAAAUCGGAGGUUUCUUCACAAAAAAAGUCUUCUGAAGACAAGGUGAUCAAGCUUAACAACGACUGUGGUUAUAUGAUGAAGAGAACUCGAACUGACCCUGCUGUUGUUCGAUAUCCGAGAUUUUCUCCCAAAAAAGAUCCAGAAAAGUACUUUCAUUCAUUGUUGCAACUUUUCUUGCCACAUUAUGAAGAUUGUCAGCUCAAGCCUGAGAGUUUUAGCACUUAUGAGGAAUUCUACAACAGUGGUGCUGUGAAAUGUGGGAGAAAUGUGACUCAAGUCAAAUGUAUUGUUGAUGCUAAUCGAGCACUCUUUGAAAAGGAAAGUGACAAAAUUGGUCGAGCUCAACAGCUUUUGGAGCAAGGUGUUGAUUUGGAAGAUGCUUGGGCUGCGUUAUGUCCUGAAACUGAAAAGGAACGUCACGAAUGUUUAGAACUAAGGAAGAGUAAUACAAUUCCUGAUGAAGAUGAUUCUGAGUGUUCUAUUCCAGAUCUUGUAACGAACCCUCGAACUCCAUACAGUAUUGAAACCAAUCAGGCUGGAAUUUCUAGAGAAGAAGCAUUAUGUUUACUGCGAUCAUUAAAUGCACAACAAUGUGCAAUCUUUUACAAAGUACGGAAAUGGUGUUUAGAGAAACUUCUUGGUGAAAACCCUGAACCAUUUCACUUGUUUGUCACUGGUGGAGCAGGCACAGGCAAGAGUCAUUUAAUCAAAGCGAUCUACUAUGAAUCCUCCAGACUUUUAUCUCAGCUGUCCGAAAACCCUGAUGAUAGAAGUGUGAUUUUAACUGCGUCAACCGGAGUGGCCAGUUUUCAAAUUGGUGCUUCUACAAUCCAUAAUACCUUUUCCAUAGGUGCCAAUGUCAAACUGCCAUAUCAGCCCCUAAGUGAUGACAAAAUCAAUUCACUGCGUGCAAAACUGGGAGGUUUGCAGAUUCUGAUCAUUGAUGAGGUGUCUAUGGUUGACCAUCACCUUUUGUCUUAUGUUCAUGGUAGAUUGAGACAAAUUAAGCAAACUGGUGACUACUCAAUUUUUGGAAGAGUCAGUUUGGUCUGUGUUGGUGAUUUUUAUCAGCUACCGCCAGUCAAGGGAAUUCCCCUGUACGUUGAUCCAAAAGGAGUGAAUCUUUGGGAUACCAACUUUGAAAUUGCUGAACUAACACAAGUUGUCAGGCAACAAGAUGCAUCUUUUGCUGAAAUGUUAAAUCGUCUGAGAGUUCAUAAAAAGAACGAAACUCUAAGCCCAAAUGACAUCAACAUGUUGAAGCAACGUGAAACUGGUGAAGAAUGCGAUGCUAUUCAUAUAUUCCCUACAAAUGCUCAGGUUGAUGAGUACAAUAUACAGAAACUUAAUGAGCGUUGUCCUGAGGCAAUCACUAUUCACGCUAGAGACUUUGCUAGAAAUCCAGAAACUGGAAGAAUAGAAAGGAAAGUUGGAUUUCAUGCAAAAGUUUUCAACUCUUGUUUGGACAAAUGUGUUUCCUUGGGUGUUGGUGCCAGAGUAAUGCUUAGGAAAAAUGUUGAUGUUUCUGAUGGACUUGUCAAUGGAGCCUGUGGCACAGUUGUCCACAUAAGCAGAAAACAAAGACGUGAUGAUGAUGAAGAUGAUGACUUCCCAUCAGCUAUCCAUGUUGAAUUUGAUGAUCCAAAUGUUGGUAAAGUUCAGAGAUCGAAGCUGCGACAGAAAUAUUCUCCAAAUUCAACUGUUAUUGAAGUGGAAGAAGAUCAAGUCUCAAACGAUGGUGGUUUAAGACGUCAGUUUCCACUUAAAUUGGCAUGGGCAUGCACCGUUCAUAAAGUGCAAGGACUCACAGUAGAUCAAGCGGUCGUCUCACUUGACAAGGUAUUUUCUCCGGGACAAGCAUAUGUUGCACUGAGUCGUGUGAGAACCCUCGAUGGACUAAUAAUUAAUAACUUCAAAGACUCUGUCAUAUAUUGUAAUGAGAAAAUUGACUCCGCUAUGAAAAACAUGCCCCGACUUACUUUAGAAAAUUACAGUUUUGUAAAGACACCUGGCGUGUUUACAAUUGCUCUUCAUAAUGUACAAAGUCUUCGAGCUCAUGUUCAAGAUCUUCAAGUUCACAGACAGAUAAUGAAUGCAGAUUGCAUCGGUUUAACUGAAACGUGGCUAAAAGUUGAAGACCAAGUACAGAUUCCAGGAUUUGUUUUUAAGAGCAAUCCAAGAGCUAAAUGUUAUGACAACAGUACUCCACUUUUCACUGAUUUAAAACAACAAAGAGGAGGUGGAGUUGGACUAUUCUGUUGUGAAAGCAUUCAUUUUAAUGUCAGGGUUCCAGAACCUUGUAACUUGGAAUGUCUAUACUUUGCAGUUCCACAUCUAAGUUUGAAUGCUGCUUUGCUGUACAGACCUAAUUCAUAUCCACUUAAUCUGUUUCGACAAAAUAUGUUGCAUGUUAUUGAUGAGCUGGAGAAACAGUCAGGAAAGAAAGUGAUUAUGGGAGACUUCAAUGAGGACAUCUUGACAUCAUCUACAAUUGGUACACUAAUGGAACUACAUGGAUACAGUCAACAUGUGCAACACCCUACCACUGAAAAAGGUACACUGAUAGACCAUGUCUAUGUUAAAGAUGCAGAUAAUGUCUCUGUUGAAAUUGUGCAAACGUAUUACAGUUACCACCAAGCAGUCCUUAUUUCACUGAGGUAAAAAUUAAUGUGUGUGAUUAUGUAAUGAAAUCUCUAUAACCUGCAUUAUUUGUUUCUUGUCUGUGCUCUUACUUGUUCAAUGUUCAUCCUGAGCUUCCAACUGGCAUACAACUGCAGGGCAAGUGUACAACUGGAGACGGUAUGUUCUAAGUCUAUCUAUAUCUAAAUGAAUAACUCUUAUAAUGAUCCAUCAGUUGAAUAUGUACAGCUGUUCCAUGUUAUGAUUGAAGUAUUAUCUGAAGGUAAUCCAUUUUAUCAAUGCAACACUCUGAAAUGAGAAUUGUAUCACUGUAUUGUCUGUUCUGUUUUUGUGUCCAUACGAUAUGAGUGCUAUCCUGAGAUUCCAACAUGGUCAGAGUCCAGUUAAUCCAGCCUGUAAUUCAAACAAGUGAUCAUCAUUUUCAACGCAACAUCUCCCAUAAUUGCUCUUCUUUCUUGAGCUAGUAAACUUCACCCAGCCAAGUCAUUCUAAGCCAUCCAAAUCAUAAUGGAUGCUUCCAAACAUUAUAGGAAGCAUCCACAAAGACUGCCUGCAUCCAUCCAUUUGUCUCCUAAUAUCACAAUUAAGUCAAUAGAACAACACAAAAUUGGUUUGUGCAUCAACUAACUACUAACUACUGUCAAAGAUUUCUGCAAUGUUACACUUCAAACUUCCGCCUUAUCCAUUAUGAUUCUCGGCUCCACAAACUGUUUUUAUGAAGAGGCACACAACCAAUCAAAAGGUUUGUGCAAAACAUUACACUUCAAACUUCGGUCUUAUCCGCUAUGAUUCUCCACCCCAUGAACUGUUUUUAUGAAGAGGCACACAACCAAUCAAAAGGUUUGUGCAAUACGUUACACUUCAAACUUCGGUCUUAUCCGCUAUGAUUCUCCACCCCAUGAACUGUUUUUAUGAAGAGGCACACAACCAAUCAAAAGGUUUGUGCAUGAAAACCCAAUAUCUACGGUCCACUUCUCCAAAAAGAUUUCUGCAAUGUUACACUUCAAACUUCCGCCUUAUCCAUUAAGAUUCUCCACUCCAUGAACUGUUUUUUAUGAAGAGGCACACAACCAAUCAAAAGAUUUCUGCAAUUUACUACACAUCAAACGUCCUUCUCCAAUAUGACUCUCCACCCCAUGAACCGUUUUUAUGAAGAGGCACACAACCAAUCAAAAG